GGGGUUGUGGCUCAGUGGUGAAGUGCUUGCCUAGCAUGCGUGAGGCACUGGGUUCGAACCCCAGCACCA
rnacentral:tRNA from 1 species